rnacentral:rRNA from 1 species
UACAGAGGGUGCAAACGUUGUUCGGAAUCACUGGGCAUAAAGCGUACGUAGGCGGCGCCGUAAGUGUCGGAUGAAAUCCCACGGCUUACCCGUGGAACGGUCCGGCAUACUGCGGUGCUAGAGGAUGGUAGAGGAGGGCGGAACUCUUGGUGGAGCGGUGAAAUGCGUAGAUAUCAGGAGGAACACCGGUGGCGAAGGCGGGUCUCUGGGCCGAUACUGACGCUGAGGAGCGAAAGCGUGGGGAGCGAACAGG